rnacentral:rRNA from 1 species
CCCUUAGAUGUUCUGGGCUGCACGCGUGCUACACUGAUUAUUUCAACAAGUGUUUUAACUGGAGAGUUUGCGUAAUCCUGAAAUGUUAUCGUGAUGGGAGUAGAGUAUUGUAUUUGUUAAUCUUUAACGAGGAAUUCCUAGUAAGUGUAGGUUUAUAAGUUGUUCUGAUUACGUCCCUGCCCUUUGUACACACCGCCCGUCGCUACUACUGAUUGGAUGUUUAAGCGAGGUUCUCGAACUGCUAGCGACUUAGCUUCGGUGAGGUCGCAGUGUGGGAAGUGAACCUAGCUUUGGUGUCUAGAGGAAGUAAAAGUCGUAACA